rnacentral:rRNA from 1 species
GACGAACGCUGGCGGCGUGCUUAACACAUGCAAGUCGAACGGAAAGGCCCUGCUUUUGUGGGGUGCUCGAGUGGCGAACGGGUGAGUAACACGUGAGUAACCUGCCCUUGACUUUGGGAUAACUUUAGGAAACUGGGGCUAAUACCGGAUAGGAGCUCCUGCUGCAUGGAGGGGGUUGGAAAGGUUCGGCGGUUGGGGAUGGACUCGCGGCUUAUCAGCUUGUUGGUGGGGUAGUGGCUUACCAAGGCUUUGACGGGUAGCCGGCCUGAGAGGGUGACCGGCCACAUUGGGACUGAGAUACGGCCCAGACUCCUACGGGAGGCAGCAGUGGGGAAUAUUGCACAAUGGGCGGAAGCCUGAUGCAGCAACGCCGCGUGCGGGAUGACGGCCUUCGGGUUGUAAACCGCUUUCGCCUGUGACGAAGCGUGAGUGACGGUAAUGGGUAAAGAAGCACCGGCUAACUACGUG